rnacentral:rRNA from 1 species
GAACGCUAGCGGCGUGCUUAACACAUGCAAGUCGAACGAGAAAGCCACUUCGGUGGUUAGUAGAGUGGCGCACGGGUGAGUAACACGUGGAUAAUCUGCCUUUAGGUCUGGAAUAACUAGCUGAAAAGCUAGCUAAUGCCGGAUAAGACCACACUUCAUAAGUAGUGUGGUAAAAGAGGGGGACCUUCGGGCCUUUCUCCUAAAGAUGAGUCCGCGUCCCAUCAGCUUGUUGGUAAGGUAAUGGCUUACCAAGGCUAAGACGGGUAGCUGGUCUGAGAGGACGAUCAGUCACACUGGCACUGGAACACGGGCCAGACUCCUACGGGAGGCAGCAGUGGGGAAUAUUGCGCAAUGGGGGAAACCCUGACGCAGCGACGCCGCGUGAAGGAAGAAGGUUUUCGGAUCGUAAACUUCUGUCAAGGGGGAAGAACGGUCAUAGGUACAAUAUGCCUAUGAUUUGACGGUACCCCUAGAGGAAGCAUCGGCUAACUAUGUGCCAGCAGCCGCGGUAAUACAUAGGAUGCAAGCGUUGCUCGGAAUUACUGGGUGUAAAGCGAGCGUAGGUGGUUUAGUAAGUCAGUUGUGAAAGCCCUCAGCUUAACUGGGGAAUUGCACCUGAUACUGCUAAACUUGAGUAUGGGAGA